UUCAUUCUGUACAUGUACAGAGUAUUCACUGAUUGAAAAGUUUUGCCUAUCCUAUAUUUCUAAGGUGUAUCUAUUCGAAAAUUGGAGCGUCGAACCUCAAAGAUUCUGACAAAAACGUCGCUGUCGCUUCUAUUUGUUACUCUGUGCUACUAUUUAACAGCAGCCGUUUAUGAAGGCGCGUGACUCCUAUAAUAUAUGAAAUUUUUUUAUUAAAUUAACGAAUCAGGUUAUUGGAAAUGGCAGUUGUAAUAAGUUCAUAAUUAUAUUGUACCAACGAAAGAAUAUGCAAUACUAAUUUAAUAAAUAUGGUGAAUCAUACAGCAAUUUUCAAAACAAUUUUAAUUACAUUUUUUACAAAUUCUGACAAAAUCAUUAAGGCAACAUAUAUUGUUGGUCGAUAAGGGAAUAAAUUUUUCCACAAAAUCUAAAACACAUUAUGAUACUUUAAAAGUAUCUCCCAAUGCUACACACAAUGAAAUAAAGUC